UACAGAGGGUGCAAGCGUUGUUCGGAAUUAUUGGGCGUAAAGCACGUGUAGGCGGCCAAGUGUGUUAGGCGUGAAAGCCCGGGGCUUAACCCCGGAAUUGCACCUAAAACUACAUGGCUAGAGCAUUGGAGAGGGUAGCGGAAUUCACGGUGUAGCAGUGAAAUGCGUAGAUAUCGUGAGGAACACCAGAGGCGAAGGCGGCUACCUGGACAAUUGCUGACGCUCAGGCACGAAAGCGUGGGGAGCAAAAGGG
rnacentral:rRNA from 1 species